UAACUCUGGAACUGCCAUUAAAACUCUUCAGCUAGAGUGUGAUAGAGGAAAGCAGAAUUUCUAGUGUAGAGGUGAAAUUUCGUAGAUAUUAGAAAGAAUACCAAUUGCGAAGGCAGCUUUCUGGAUCAUUACUGACACUGAGGAACGAAAGCAUGGGUAGCGAAGAGGAUUAGAUACCCUCGUAGUCCAUGCCGUAAACGAUGUGUGUUAGACGUUGGAAAUUUAUUUUCAGUGUCGCAGCGAAAGCGAUAAACACACCGCCUGGGGAGUACGACCGCAAGGUUAAAACUCAAAUGAAUUGACGGGGACCCGCACAAGUAGUGGAGCAUGUGGUUUAAUUCGAAGAUACGCGCAGAACCUUACCAACACUUGACAUGUUCGUCGCGACUCUAAGAGAUUAGAGUUUUCGGUUCGGCCGGACGAAACACAGGUGCUGCAUGGCUGUCGUCAGCUCGUGUCGUGAGAUGUUGGGUUAAGUCCCGCAACGAGCGCAACCCUCACUUUUAGUUGCCAUCAUUAAGUUGGGCACUCUGAAGGAACUGCCAGUGAUAAGCUGGAGGAAGGUGGGGAUGACGUCAAGUCCUCAUGGCCCUUACGUGUUGGGCUACACACGUGCUACAAUGGUAUCUACAACAGGAAGCAAGACGGCGACGUUUAGCAAAUCCUUAAAAGAUACCUCAGUUCGGAUUGCACUCUGCAACUCGAGUGCAUGAAGCUGGAAUUACUAGUAAUCGUGGAUCAGCGUGCCACGGUGAAUGCGUUCCCGGGUCUUGUACACACCGCCCGUCACACCAUGGGAGUUGGUUCUACCUUAAGGCAAGGUUUAAAAUCCUUGACCACGGUAUAGUCAGCGACUGGGGUGAAGUCGUAACAAGGUAGCCGUA
rnacentral:rRNA from 1 species